rnacentral:rRNA from 1 species
UUGACCUCGGAUCAGGUAGGGAUACCCGCUGAACUUAAGCAUAUCAAUAAGCGGAGGAAAAGAAACCAACAGGGAUUGCCCUAGUAACGGCGAGUGAAGCGGCAACAGCUCAAAUUUGAAAUCUGGCUCUUUCAGAGUCCGAGUUGUAAUUUGCAGAGGGCGCUUUGGCGUUGGCAGCGGUCCAAGUUCCUUGGAACAGGACGUCACAGAGGGUGAGAAUCCCGUACGUGGUCGCUGGCCUUUCGCCGUGUAAAGCCCCUUCGACGAGUCGAGUUGUUUGGGAAUGCAGCUCUAAAUGGAGGUAAAUUUCUUCUAAGCUAAAACUGGCCAGAGACCGAUAGCGCACAAGUAGAGUGAUCGAAAGAUGAAAAGCACUUUGGAAAGAGAGUCAAAUAGCACGUGAAAUUGUUGAAAAGGGAAAGCGCUUGCAGCCAGACUUGCCUGUAGUUGCUCCUCCGGGCUUUUGCCCGGUGCACUCUUCUGUAGGGCAGGCCAGCAUCAGUUUGGGCGGUUGGAUAAAGGACUCUGUCACGUACCUCCUUUCGGGGAGGCCUUAUAGGGGAGUCGUCAUG